AAUCUUGGACUGGAUGAUGUU
rnacentral:miRNA from 1 species